rnacentral:lncRNA from 1 species
UCUUCCAGCAUCAUCCAAUUUUAAAAAAUUAAGAGUAAAUAUUGUAAGGGAUAGAGCCAUCUUUGGCGUCAUAGCCUCUAUUCCCCCUUUCUGUUUUUGCAAAUAUUGUUUCAGAGUGCGAUGGGCUCUCUCAAUUAUGCCUUGGCCCUGUGGAUUAUAGGGCAAUCCAGUAAUAUGUUUUACUUGCAUUUGUUUGCAAAAUUGGCUAAAUUUAGAAGAAGUAUAUGCAGGACCAUUAUCUGUCUUUAACACUAGGGGCUUGCCCCAUGCAGCCCAAGCCUCUAAGCAGUGAGAUAUGACAUGAACUGCUUUUUCCCCUGUCAAGGGAGAGGCAUGUAGGACACCAGAACUGGUAUCGAUGGAUACAUGUACAUAUUGUAAUUUCCCAAAAGAUGGGAUAUGCGUUACGUCCAUUUGCCAAACAUCUAGGGGUCGCAAUCCGCGAGGAUUAACACCCACGGAAGGUGCAUUAACAAAUUCUACACAUUUACCACACCGUAGGACAAUAUCUCGGGCUUCUUUUCUUGUGAGCUUAAACUUUUGUCGUAAUGUAGAAGCAGGGACAUGAUAAAGUUGAUGAAAAUUUUUUGCACUUUCUAUAGAACUUUGUAAUAGAAAAACCAUGUCUCUGGUGGCUGAGUCAGCAAUGGCAUUUCCCUUAACCAUAGGUCCAGGUAAUGAUGUAUGUGCUCUAAUAUGUUUAAUAUAAAAGGGAUGCUCACGCAUCAAAAUACAAUUUUGUAUUUUCAUCAAAAUUUCAGAUACAGGACUGGACUGUUUAAAAUUUCCGGCAGUCUCUAAUGCUAGAACCGCAUUAACUACAUAAACAGAAUCAGAGACAAUAUUUAUGGGCAUAGGAAAUCUUUUAAAGACUUCUAAAACCACCAAACAUUCUACCAAUUGAGGGGCUCCUGGUGUAAAUUGCAACCUUACAGCCUUUUCAUUGAUUACAUAACUUCCAACUCCUGUUUUGGAUCCAUCUGUAUAAAUAUCAAUGGCUCCCUUUAUAGGGGUAUUAGCCGUUACCUUUGGAAAUAUUACUGGAUGCAAUAACAUAAAAUGUAAUAACGGAUGUUUAGGAUAAUGAUUAUCAAUUAAACCAGAAUAACUGCAUCUAAGAAUGGCCCAUUCAUCUAUAGUAGCACACAAUAUUUGCAUUUGUGCGACAGUAUACGGGACAAUUAUGCUAUCAGGCAUUUUUCCAAAGUGAGUGAUUGAAGUUUUUAUCCCUUUGUGGGCCAUAUUUGCUACCAUGGUGGGAUAAUGCUCUAUAGUUUUAUUAGGGGAUAUAUGUGGAUGUAUCCAUACUAAAGGACCAUUUUGCCAUAACACAGCAGUUGGCAGAUUGAUGGUGCGUAAUAUGCAUAGGCACAAAGGUUCUUGCUCAUUUAUACGAGUUAACUGUGCUGUUUGGAUCGCCUUUUCCACUUUCCUAAGAACAUCAGAAGCCUCAGGUGUUAAUUGUCUCAAUGAGGUAAUAUGUGAGUCUCCUUCUAAAAUUUGAAAUAAAGGUUUUAAUUCCGAAGUAGGGAUCCUUAAAUAAGGUCUAAUCCAAUUUAUAUCUCCUAAUAAUUUUUGAAAAUCAUUUAGUGUCUUUAGAUGGUCUUUUCUAAUACUAAUCUUUUGUGGGGUGACACAUCGUAAAGUAAUAGUGGCUCCUAGAAAAUGACUAACAUUAGACUGCUGUACCUUUUCUGGUGCAAUACUCAAACCAUUAUUUUUUAAAGUUUCAUUAAGCAAGCCAUAAGCUUGCUGUAUACUUUCUUCUUCAGGUCCACAGAUUACAAUGUCAUCCAUAUAGUGACAAAUUUUUAAGGAGGGGAAACCAUCCCUAACCGGUUGUAAAGCUUUUCCUACAUAUAACUGACAUAUGGUAGGGCUAUUUGCCAUUCCUUGGGGUAAUACCCGCCAUUGGUACCUUUUAUCAGGUUCCAUAUGAUUAAUAGAAGGCAAGGUGAAUGCAAAUCUAGGUUUAUCUUUCUUAUUUAAUGGAAUUGAAAAGAAACAAUCCUUAAUAUCUACUACUAUAAUUCUCCAAUCCUUAGGUAGAGCUGAGAGUAGGGGGAGCCCUCUUUGUACAGGACCCAUAACUUGCAUUUGUGCAUUAAUGGCUCUUAGGUCAUGUAACAAUCUCCAUUUACCUGACUUUUUCUUUACAACAAAAAUGGGGGUAUUCCAGGGUGAUUGAGUGGGCUCCACAUGUCCCAGAUCUAAUUGUUCUUGUACUAAUUCUUUAGCUGCUUUUAACUUCUCAGAGGGUAAAGGCCAUUGAGGCACCUACACCAUGUCCUCCGUAUGCUACGGGAUGGGCAAAGGCUCUUCAGUGGCCCCUAGAAAAAACCCAGCCCUUUCUUGUCUGCCUUUACAGUGGCUUUAACUGGUAAAAUUCUACCUUGCAAAAUUUUUCCAAGACCUAGUCCAGGUAUAUAUCCCAUUCCUUUCAUCAUUUCCUUGCUUUUCUGAGAGUAAUCAUUAGUCAAUAUAAAGUUCAUAGCUGAUAACACAUCUCUCCCCCACAAGUUUACAGGCAAAGGGAGUACGUAUGGUUGAAAAAGCCCUGUCCUUCCUUCUUUAUCUUUCCAUUGUAAGGAUUUUGCACUUAUAGUUGGGGUAGCCUCAUAUCCUAAUCCUUGUAAGCUAUGUGAUGAUUGAUUAACAGGCCAAGAAGCAGGCCACCACUUACUAGAUAUAAUGCUUUUAUCUGCUCCUGUAUCCAUUAUACCUUGAAAGGUUUUUCCUUCUAUUUGUAAAGAUAUGUACUUUAUUUUCAAACAUACUCUUUCUACCCUUUGUACACUGCUUUUGCAUAUUACCUGUUUUCUUAUGUUGUUUAGAAUAACUCCAACCUUGGGUUUCCAAUUUUAAGCUAACUUUCUGUUACAAGCAAAAGGCUGCCUGCCCCUUUAAAAGCUCCAUUUGCAAUCAGCCUUCAGCAGGGCUUUUUCAGCUGUACUUGACUCCCAGCCACUGUGCAGCUAACUUGUCAUUUUUUGCUGUGCAGACUGAGACUGCUUUUUUAUUUUUCAACAUGAAACACAGAACAACAAUCAUUCAAUCAUCCAAGCAAAAACAAACACGAGUUGACAGACAUAUAGACAAUUUGGUGCACCAAAAAACAGAAAAUAGAACACAGAUAUCCUAUUCGAAGCUAAAAAUAUUUCCAUAGGAGCCAGAGAGGAAGCAGGACGUCUCCCGUUUUCCGUCUGUCCCUAGGAGGGCUCUGAAAUAGCUUAUUUUCAUUUUUUUUUUCUUCUAGGAAUUCUGCACAGUGGCUGCUUCUAAUAGUUGCUCCUCUUUCCCUGAGAGCUAUCUUUAAGCCUUUGAUGAAGGCUGCCUCUUUAGUCAAAGUCCUCGAGAGGAGGGUAAAUUGACUUAAUUUUUUGUUCUUCAUUUUUUAUAUUAUCCUUUAUAUCUUUAUAUUAUCCUUUGUAUCUUUACAUUUUAUAUUAUCCUUUGUGUCUUUAUAUUUUAGCUUCCUUUCUUUUUUUCUUUUUAUAUUUCUUAAGUUACUUAUUUUUCUGCGCGCGUCUUCUUUUUCCUUUCUCUCUGUUUCUGAUAUGCCUUCCUGGUACUCCUACAAAGUCGCUGCCCUUCCUUAACAGCUGGUCCCACACAAACCCAGCAACAAUUACCAGACCCACUGCGUAAGAAAGCAUACCUCUCAGAGACUUACCUUAAUUUCUUUAUACUUACUGGUACCACCGUUCCUCAGCUGAAGAGUUCUGAAUCCACGCAGUUGAAUCCUUCUCAGCAGUCUGUUUUGCAGGAACCUUUAUUAACACCGCUCCCCAGCUGAAGAGUUCUGAAUCCACGCCGGAUCCUUCUCAGCAGUCUGUUUUACGGGAACCUUUAUUAACCGCUCCUUCCCCGCGAUGCAGUUCUGAAUCCUCCCUGUAGUAGGGGGUCUUCGCUCGUGCCUGAAGAUGUUUCUUGUCCCGGGUUUCGGCACCACUUCUUGCGCGCGCUCGACUCGACCAGCAAGAACUACGCUGCAACAGGAUCCUUCUGCACACGUUUAUUGGGAGAGCUUGAUUGCAGAGGCGAAAAGACUUUUUGCCCAGAGCUGGUGCUGCUUUUAUAGGCCUAGGAGAGGCGUGUCUCAUACCCUGAUUGGUUAUGCACUAAGCCUCAUUUGCAUGUUCCUCAUCUGAUUGGCUGCUCUCUCUCAGUACCUCACUGAGCCUCAUUAUCAUACCUCAUUUGCAUGUCUCACAUCCGAUUGGUUAUACUCUCAGUACCUUACAGAACCUCAUUAUCAUGCCUGGGCCAGGCAGUGUUUUUGCAAAAAACUUUACUGCAUAUGUACACAUUGGCUGUUUGUCCAAUCUUAUGCAUGGUGGCCAGCAGUAGUCAGUGCCACUCAGCAACGGCACAUGUGGCUUCCCACACCAGAAGUCAUAAAGAUACCAAAAGAAAAACAGAUACCAUAGUUCAAAGAAAAGCACAGAAUGCUUGCUUUCUUUGCUUGCUGAAUGAAUGCCAUCCGAGAAGAAACAGGUAGUCAAGCUGAAGACAAAUUGCAGUGACUUGUAGUGGACUAGGAGAGAAAAUCUUUUCAUGAAUACAAACUGAAGAGCCUCAAGGAGAAAGUGAAAGAGACACAUAAAAAAGAACUAGAGGGAUGGAGAGAUGGCUCUGUGCUUAAGAGCACUGGCUGCUUCUCAGAGGACCCAAGGUAAAAUCAGUUCCUAGCACCCACACAGUGUGACUCACAACUACCUGUGACUUCUGCUUCUAGAUCUCGCACCCUCUUCUGGCCUCCAAAGGCACCUGUAUUCAUGUACACAUACACAUAAAUAAAAUAUAAAUCUUAAAAAAAAUUCAAAGCCAGGUGUUAUGGUGCACUCCCAGAACUUGGGAGGCAGAGGCAGGCAGAUCUCUGUGAGUUCAAGGUCAGUCUGGUCUAUAUAGUGAGUUCCAGGACAGCCAGAGCUACGUAGUGAGACCCUGUUUUGGGGAAGG